GUUUUUGGCGACUUCCGGUUGGGCGUACAGAGGUUAUACACUGUGAAAUUACGUAUCACAUAAUAUGCGUUCAUCCUUUUGAAUAUUUUAAGAAAUCUAACAGGAAAGGCACAGAGAUUUGAUUCAAUUAGUUUGAUGAGGUGUGUACGGGUGUGCUUUAUGAGCAAAGCAAUCCAGACAAAAAUAACAAAAAAUUGAUUAAAGUAAUAGAUACCUACUUAGCUAUUUAUACAUCAUUCAUGCCUUGUGGCGCUUUUAUUAUUUCGUUAAAACAUACGUCACGCUCUUCGCACAGUUGAAUGUAUAUAUAGAUUUAUCCAACACACCGUUAAAACAAACAUUUAUUCUGGAUAAUAUAUUGGCAAACAUGUUGAAGUCGACACAAAUAUUGUCUAUUUUAGCCGUGGUGUUAGUACUUUCAAGUUAUGUUAAACAUGCCUCUGGUCAGCUGUGUAUAAGGAACGGAAACUACUGUGCAGACACUGGAAAGACGUCACAAUCAGACCGUGGCCGAUGUGGGCGUAGCUCGGGGAAUGGUAUCUACAGAUGGUGUGGAUUUAUAGGUAGCAAAUGUCGCUGCAGAUCAAACCGAAUUCUUGGAAAGGCAUUACCUGUCAUGUUGACGUCUCUAUUACGUGGGGAUAAGGAAUACUAAAUGUUUCAUAUUUACGUACAUAUAUGUUAUACAUUAAUUCUAGCUUGUUAGAUAUUGUUUUGUAAGAUAUGUUGUUCAGUGCAUAUACUUGCCGACAUCUUGUGCGGGAAUAACGAACACUAAAUGCUAAAUGUUGAUGUGUAAAACAUAUACAUUGAAUAUGUUUUUGAUGUUGUACUUCAUUUGCAUAUUAUCUUCUACAUUCAAAAUGACAUCACGAGGCCCAUUGAGAGAAAAUGACCGAUUCCGUUGUUUAUUGCCCUAAAAGUGAUUUUUAUAUACGUACUUUUCCAUGACGCUGUCCUGAUAUAAUUUUAUCACGCGCGUCAUUAUUUUGAUAACUAUGAUAAAACACGAUUUCAUGAACAGUAAAUGACACGUUGGUCUGCAGUCUAGAUUUCAAACUGUGCGGUUAAACAAAAUAUAUGAUAUGGACUGAAGCUAAAAUUGUAAACAUGUAUCUAAAGAGAAACUAUACGUAAGACUGUUCAUCCUUUUGUAGACGAACCCUUGCUGGAGCCAAAAUUAUGUUUUGAUAAAUCACUUUCAAUUCGCAUACAACUGCUAUCCAAGGGCCGGUAUGACCGUACGGUUAAUCCCGCUGACUUUUAAUCACUUUUCCCUCACCACUGAGGGUUUAAAACCUCGCAUGGAACGUAGAAAUAGUUUAUCUACUAGAUGGCUUAUGGAAGGUCGGUGACUAUACUACGGUGCCGUCUUUGCCAGGAUGGGUAUCCAGGGUCUUCGUCACCAUCAAAAGCUCGAAAUGAGCAUAUGGCCACAAUUACUUGAUGAUUUAUGGAUCGGAUAAAAACAGACCAUAAAAAAAUUUGAUGCCUCUGUAUAAUCUCCACUUUGAAAACGUGAAAUUGCAGAUGGAAAGAGAGAAAAAGGACAUACGGACGAAUAUUGUCGUUUCUAUACCUUAUAAAUGUUAGCAGAAGCAACAUCUUUGAAAUUCAAAAAAAUUGUAUACGAGGGAUGUUCAGAGAGAAAUGCAAUCAAUAGGUGCAUUCAUUUAUCCACUAAGACUGGAACAUAUUUAAGUUCGCAAUUCAAAAUAUACCGGAGCAUUGCUGCGCAUGUUUAGAUGUUAGGAUACUGUCAUAUCCACUAGCAAUGAAAAGAUUGUUCGAGUUGCCAGAUGUUUUGGUGAGACAAUUUGUUUUGAUUGCUAUAAAGUAUAGUUGAACGCCAUACUUUAACAGUCAAAAGUUGAAAUAUGUAAUCUGUAUAUAUUGGGUGCGGCUACAGCCAAAAGCAGUAAUUAAAUAGUGCAGUUCAUAUCAAUGCCGUCUAAUCUAAAACUCCAUUCCAUCCUUUAAAAUUGACUUUUCAACGCAUUGUAUAAACUAAUUUUCGUCAUCCAUUUAAAUAUGAAACGAUUCACUGAACUGGUCCGAAAAAAAACGGGGAUAACUAAAUGUGAAGCCUUCAACACAACGUAAAUACGAUGAGCAUAAAAUGAAAGGAUUUAUCACAUCUUGACGGCGUCCAAUAUACCAUAAACGAUUUGUGCUAUUCGAAUUGGCGUGCAUGCAGUUUAAAAUGAAAUGAUUCAUUUAAGAAAUCAAUAUUUAUUUUCGGAGUUCAAGUGAAAUGAACGACAUAAGAGGAUCGGCAAAUCUAUGAAUUGCGCUCGCGCUACAUUAUAUUUCUUUUUCAUUUGUAAACAAGGUUAUGUCAUAAAUUUUACAAGAUCAGUUGUUAAUAACAAUUUUGAAAGGGUAAAUAAAAUGAGUGUUUGCGUAAGUUCGACAAUCACUUAAUACUUGGAAUUUUUGUUAUUCCCCAGUGCAAAAUGAACUUUUUUGCAUCAAACUGUAAGGGUAUGACGAUUUUUACUAUGGUAACCAAACAUGUGUGUACGUUUCGUAAAUGAGAGAAAUUCUUCCAAUGGAUACAAACGUGUAGGCAUUUAAUGUUCUCAGAAACAUGCGCAUAAACUUUUAUGUUCUUUGUAGCAAAGGUAAAAGGUGUAUUUGUAUGUAUUAUGAUGUGAUUUUGUGUUAAAAUCAAUUUUACCUUUUUAGAAAAUUCAAAAUUAUUUAAUGUAUUUUUGCGUCGUUUUUCUAAAUAUGGGUUGUGGCCGUAAAAUCGGUCAAAAUAUGAAAUAACUUAAAACAUUUUUAUCUAAAUUUCUUCAUGACAUUCACAUGUAAACGUAGGUCAGAUCUCAUAAAUAUGCUUCUUGUAACGUUUAUGAUAUUGACGAACGCCUAAGUGUUGCGUUAACGUAUAUCGCAAGAAGUGAGCUUUGACUACUGAUAUGAUAUUUAAUUACAAAGUCCUUGAUGACCUUAAAAGUUGCUACUUUUUAAUCAGUCAAGACAUACUCUUUGCUGAGGGAACCACGUUUAAUCUUGUUUCUACGAAAUUAGAACAAAUCGUCGUUUAGUUCAUGUGUACAAACAAUAUUGACAAUUGCAUUUUUAUAUAAGUUUAACGUUUUUGUAUCUAAUGUUUGCAUGAGAAAAUGACAACAGUUAAUAGCGAGAUAACAAAGCAUGAAUUGUGUUAGCAACAUUAGAAACACAUUUGUUUUUAUGGGUUUUUUCUCUCUGUCUUUUAAUUAAUUUUACUGUGCUUAAGUGUCUGGUCUUUCUAGAGCCUGUAUAAAAAUAUGUCCCUGAGUCCUAACUUGAGCUAAUUCAUACUC